AGACCCGAAACCCGGUGAUCUAGCCAUGGGCAGGUUGAAGGUUGGGUAACACUAACUGGAGGACCGAACCGACUAAUGUUGAAAAAUUAGCGGAUGACCUGUGGCUGGGGGUGAAAGGCCAAUCAAACCGGGAGAUAGCUGGUUCUCCCCGAAAGCUAUUUAGGUAGCGCCUCGUGAAUUCAUCUCCGGGGGUAGAGCACUGUUUCGGCUAGGGGGCCAUCCCGGCUUACCAACCCGAUGCAAACUGCGAAUACCGGAGAAUGUUAUCACGGGAGACACACGGCGGGUGCUAACGUCCGUCGUGAAGAGGGAAACAACCCAGACCGCCAGCUAAGGUCCCAAAGUCAUGGUUAAGUGGGAAACGAUGUGGGAAGGCCCAGACAGCCAGGAUGUUGGCUUAGAAGCAGCCAUCAUUUAAAGAAAGCGUAAUAGCUCACUGGUCGAGUCGGCCUGCGCGGAAGAUGUAACGGGGCUAAACCAUGCACCGAAGCUGCGGCAGCGACACUGUGUGUUGUUGGGUAGGGGAGCGUUCUGUAAGCCUGUGAAGGUGUGUCGUGAGGCAUGCUGGAGGUAUCAGAAGUGCGAAUGCUGACAUAAGUAACGAUAAAGCGGGUGAAAAGCCCGCUCGCCGGAAGACCAAGGGUUCCUGUCCAACGUUAAUCGGGGCAGGGUGAGUCGACCCCUAAGGCGAGGCCGAAAGGCGUAGUCGAUGGGAAACGGGUUAAUAUUCCCGUACUUGGUGUUACUGCGAAGGGGGGACGGAGAAGGCUAUGUUGGCCGGGCGACGGUUGUCCCGGUUUAAGCGUGUAGGUGUGUGUUCCAGGUAAAUCCGGUUCACUUUAACACUGAGGCGUGAUGACGAGGCACUACGGUGCUGAAGUGACAAAUGCCCUGCUUCCAGGAAAAGCCUCUAAGCAUCAGGUAACAUCAAAUCGUACCCCAAACCGACACAGGUGGUCAGGUAGAGAAUACCAAGGCGCUUGAGAGAACUCGGGUGAAGGAACUAGGCAAAAUGGUGCCGUAACUUCGGGAGAAGGCACGCUGACACGUAGGUGAAGUGAUUUACUCAUGGAGCUGAAGUCAGUCGAAGAUACCAGCUGGCUGCAACUGUUUAUUAAAAACACAGCACUGUGCAAACACGAAAGUGGACGUAUACGGUGUGACGCCUGCCCGGUGCCGGAAGGUUAAUUGAUGGGGUCAGCGCAAGCGAAGCUCCUGAUCGAAGCCCCGGUAAACGGCGGCCGUAACUAUAACGGUCCUAAGGUAGCGAAAUUCCUUGUCGGGUAAGUUCCGACCUGCACGAAUGGCGUAAUGAUGGCCAGGCUGUCUCCACCCGAGACUCAGUGAAAUUGAACUCGCUGUGAAGAUGCAGUGUACCCGCGGCAAGACGGAAAGACCCCGUGAACCUUUACUAUAGCUUGACACUGAACAUUGAGCCUUGAUGUGUAGGAUAGGUGGGAGGCUUUGAAGCGUGGACGCCAGUCUGCGUGGAGCCGACCUUGAAAUACCACCCUUUAAUGUUUGAUGUUCUAACGUGGACCCGUAAUCCGGGUUGCGGACAGUGUCUGGUGGGUAGUUUGACUGGGGCGGUCUCCUCCUAAAGAGUAACGGAGGAGCACGAAGGUUGGCUAAUCCUGGUCGGACAUCAGGAGGUUAGUGCAAUGGCAUAAGCCAGCUUGACUGCGAGCGUGACGGCGCGAGCAGGUGCGAAAGCAGGUCAUAGUGAUCCGGUGGUUCUGAAUGGAAGGGCCAUCGCUCAACGGAUAAAAGGUACUCCGGGGAUAACAGGCUGAUACCGCCCAAGAGUUCAUAUCGACGGCGGUGUUUGGCACCUCGAUGUCGGCUCAUCACAUCCUGGGGCUGAAGUAGGUCCCAAGGGUAUGGCUGUUCGCCAUUUAAAGUGGUACGCGAGCUGGGUUUAGAACGUCGUGAGACAGUUCGGUCCCUAUCUGCCGUGGGCGCUGGAGAACUGAGGGGGGCUGCUCCUAGUACGAGAGGACCGGAGUGGACGCAUCACUGGUGUUCGGGUUGUCAUGCCAAUGGCACUGCCCGGUAGCUAAAUGCGGAAGAGAUAAGUGCUGAAAGCAUCUAAGCACGAAACUUGCCCCGA
rnacentral:rRNA from 1 species